rnacentral:tRNA from 1 species
CCCCUGAUAGCUCAGUUGGAAGAGCGUGAGACUGUAAAUCUCAAGGUCACCUGUUAGCCAGGUUCAGGGGA